UCCAUAGGCAAAGCAAGGUACGACGAAACUCAUAAAACACGAAUGAUAUUCGGCAAUUUCGGGAUUGCUCGGAUUCUUAUGAAUAGUUUUUAAAGUCCGUGCUCGGCAUUCUUCACUGCAAAAUUAGUACUGUCCGGGACGUUCAAGGGAGCAGUUAGUGUGCGACGUGUGUAACUGCUCAUGGUCUUGUGCGGUAAUAAACGUGAAAACUAGUACUGUUAGUAGGAGUUAGUGCGAUAGAACGAAGUGGGUAGUGGAACCUAUUCUCAUACCACAUAGAACGCUCUAUAACAGUUAAAGUGAAACGUAUACAGAAAAAGGUCCACAAAAGGGCCUUUUUCUUUUGUCUUUCGACCAGCUUUGUUCGGACGCCAUCAACAAUUCCGGAACAAAGGACCCCGGACAGUAACACUAGCGUGGGUCCAGCGAGAAGCCAUCUUGCCAUGCGGCCAAAACCCACAGACGGAGCCAACGUAUGCACGGAAGUUGGACCCCUACCAUACUCUUGGCCGUCAUUCCGACCACCUUUGGGAAGUUCGCCGAUAGUGCCUCAGGCCCCCGGCCGGAAUCGGGAACUUUGCCACUUGGAUUCCUGGUUGAGACCCUCGGCCACUGCGGAGAAUUUCGCCGAUCGCUCGAAGCCUUAAUUGCCGACCGUCGACAACUGGGAUCGCCACUGAAUUCCACCGCCAACCACGAAGCUGUUCACGAAUGAUCCGCCCUAGCGCCGCGACCGUCCGGCAUUACCAAGAUCGAGACCCGCCACGACAAUUACCUGCCACUAAACCAAGACCGAAAACCGCAAGUACUAUGUGACGUCACAAAUGUUUAUAGAAGCCAUGGCUAAAAUUUGUUUAUGUAUGUAAUCCUAGGUAAAAUUUGUAAUAUUAGGCAAUAUAGUUUUGUGCAUGAAUAUUUGCUAGUUAAAUUUCAUUUCAAGGUGUGAGAAGAGUUACUACGUUUCUUGUGGAUUUCGUUAUUUUCGGAUUCACUAAGGGGUUUUCAGGCCUCUCUUCCCCGUGCGUUCAAAUCAGAAUUCUUUUUGUAGUGUUGCCUGUGAGUUUUCUAAAUCAUAAGAAAGUGUUAUUGAGUUCCGUCGAUCGUUAUUAUGCUGUUGGAUUUACCCUGAUUUACCUUAAAAGUGAGUUCCCUCUGGAGGUGGAUUUUUUGUGUGCUUUAGAGUUUGUUGUACCGAUUUCCCUUCAGCCGACCCUGGAGAUUCCCGCUGAGCAUAGUUCGGGGGGGGGGGGGGG